ensembl:lncRNA
GCGAGAACGGACAAAUAAAUACACAUUUAAUUCACACUGACAAGCUGAACCAACAUAUGUUAUUAUUACCGGCUCAGAUCUCAUUAAUAAUUGAUGUCUGGCCAGAACAGUGAGAAAGACCAAAGAGAAAUCACCGCUGCAUCAGCGCGUGCAGUCUCACCACCAGCUCACAAUAAAAGCAUUUUUAUAGUUUUAAGAGCUUUUUAAAAUAAAAUAUUACCGCGAAUGCACACAAUCCACCCAUUAGAACACAACAAGAGCUAAAUUCAGGUAUUUGUGAGCUGUUUGAUUGUGAAAAUUGAAAGACUAUUUGACAGCGCGAGACUGUCUAAGGGCAGAAUAACAUCGAUCUCUCGAGCUCCAGAGGACGCUGAUUCUGGCAAGAACGAACAAAUCAAGAACAAGAUUAUUUCAAAAUACAUAAUAGCUUGGCGAAUAUAAACGAAAACAGUCACGUGAACAUAAACAGUUGAGAAAUAAAUCUGAAGUGUAUCAUGAUACUGGAUUUGAAUAUUAAAGUGACUGCAUUUACCAGCUGCUUUCUGUCUUUAAUUUUAAUCUAUAAAAACAGAAAAUCAUUCGUCUUGGCUGCUUUUUUUGUAUGUAUUCAUGUAUUUAUUAUUAUUAUUAUUAUUUAUUUUUUUUGCUCUAACAAGAAUUAAUCUAUAUUUAAUUAAAUUAAAUUUCUGCAUCUAAACACCUAUAAACCUAAAACAUGCUCUAUUAAACUAUUGUUAGCAAUUUCUUUAUUGUCCAGUUUAACUGGUGUACACACUUUUAUUUUCAUAAUAAAUUUGUUUUUUUUAGAUAAUAGACAGUUACAGUGGUCUAUAAUAAAUAUUAACAGGUUUUUCAAGCUGCUUAAAAUGUUUGAAGUAGGCUCAUUUUUUUAAAUGUAAAUCCUAAAAAAACAAAAAAAAAAAAACAAACAAACAAACAAAAAAAAAAUAAAACUGGGAAACAGCCAUAUUUACGAAAAGGUGCUUAACCUAUAGAAAAAUAAAACUAUGAAUUAAAUUAGUGUUUAAUUUUUAGUAAUGACCAUUUUUGUUGUCAUAAAAA